rnacentral:rRNA from 1 species
GACGAACGCUGGCGGCGUGCCUAAUACAUGCAAGUUGAGCGCUGAAGGUUGGUACUUGUACCAACUGGAUGAGCAGCGAACGGGUGAGUAACGCGUGGGGAAUCUGCCUUUGAGCGGGGGACAACAUUUGGAAACGAAUGCUAAUACCGCAUAAAAACUUUAAACACAAGUUUUAAGUUUGAAAGAUGCAAUUGCAUCACUCAAAGAUGAUCCCGCGUUGUAUUAGCUAGUUGGUGAGGUAAAGGCUCACCAAGGCGAUGAUACAUAGCCGACCUGAGAGGGUGGUCGGCCACAUUGGGACGGAGACACGGCCCAAACGCCUACGGGAGGCAGCAGUAGGGAAUCUUCGGCAAUGGACGAAAGUCUGACCGAGCAACGCCGCGUGAGUGAAGAAGGUUUUCGGAUCGUAAAACUCGGUUGGUAGAGAAGAACGUUGGUGAGAGUGGAAAGCUCAUCAAGUGACGGUAACUACCCAGAAAGGGACGGCUAACUACGUG